UACGUAGGGGGCAAGCGUUGUCCGGAUUUAUUGGGCGUAAAGAGCGUGUAGGCGGCCGCACAGGUCCGUUGUGAAAACUCGAGGCUCAACCUCGAGCUGUCGAUGGAAACCGUGUGGCUAGAGUCCGGAAGAGGAGUGUGGAAUUCCUGGUGUAGCGGUGAAAUGCGCAGAUAUCAGGAAGAACACCUAUGGCGAAGGCAGCACUCUGGGACGGUACUGACGCUGAGACGCGAAAGCGUGGGGAGCGAACAGGAUUAGAAACCCCCGUAGUCC
rnacentral:rRNA from 1 species